AUUGAACGCUGGCGGUAUGCUUAACACAUGCAAGUCGAACGGUAGCAGGCCUUCGGGCGCUGACGAGUGGCGGACGGGUGAGUAACGCGUAGGAAUCUGCCUGUUAGUGGGGGGACAACGUGGGGGAAACCCACGCUAAUACCGCAUACGCCCUACGGGGGGAAAGCGGGGGGCUCUUCGGACCUCGCGCUAACAGAUGAGCCUGCGUUAGAUUAGCUUGUUGGUAGGGUAAAGGCCUACCAAGGCGACGAUCUAUAGCUGGUCUGAGAGGACGAUCAGCCACACUGGGACUGAGACAUGGCCCAGACUCCUACGGGAGGCAG
rnacentral:rRNA from 1 species